AUGAACGCUGGCGGCGUGCCUAAUACAUGCAAGUCGAGCGAACAGACGAGGAGCUUGCUCCUCUGACGUUAGCGGCGGACGGGUGAGUAACACGUGGAUAACCUACCUAUAAGACUGGGAUAACUUCGGGAAACCGGAGCUAAUACCGGAUAAUAUAUUGAACCGCAUGGUUCAAUAGUGAAAGACGGUUUUGCUGUCACUUAUAGAUGGAUCCGCGCCGCAUUAGCUAGUUGGUAAGGUAACGGCUUACCAAGGCAACGAUGCGUAGCCGACCUGAGAGGGUGAUCGGCCACACUGGAACUGGGACACGGUCCAGACUCCUACGGGAGGCAGCAGUAGGGAAUCUUCCGCAAUGGGCGAAAGCCUGAUGGAGCAACGCCGCGUGAGUGAUGAAGGUCUUCGGAUCGUAAAACUCUGUUAUUAGGGAAGAACAAAUGUGUAAGUAACUAUGCACGUCUUGACGGUACCUAAUCAGAAAGCCACGGCUAACUACGU
rnacentral:rRNA from 1 species